AGCGAACGCUGGCGGCAGGCCUAACACAUGCAAGUCGAACGAAGUCUUCGGACUUAGUGGCGGACGGGUGAGUAACACGUGGGAACGUGCCUUUAGGUUCGGAAUAACUCAGGGAAACUUGUGCUAAUACCGAAUGUGCCCUUCGGGGGAAAGAUUUAUCGCCUUUAGAACGGCCCGCGUCUGAUUAGCUAGUUGGUGAGGUAAAGGCUCACCAAGGCUACGAUCAGUAGCUGGUCUGAGAGGAUGACCAGCCACAUUGGGACUGGGACACGGCCCAAACUCCUACGGGAGGCAGCAGUGGGGAAUCUUGCGCAAUGGGCGAAAGCCUGACGCAGCCAUGCCGCGUGGAUGAUGGAGGUCUUAGGAUUGUAAAAUCCUUUCACCGGUGAAGAUAAUGACUGUAGCCGGAGAAGAAGCCCCGGCUAACUUCGUGCCAGCCGCCGCCGUAACAC
rnacentral:rRNA from 1 species